AAGAAGAUCAUUUUUCAGUUUUUUGAUACAAUAUUUUGACUCUUCGUCUUAUUUGAAUUUUUUGUGAUUAAUAUUUUAUUCUUACUAGAUGAUAAGAUAUGAAUAGUAUUUUAUACGUGACUAAUUUUUUAAAGUUUUUUUACAAAUUUUUCAAAUAAGACGAAUGGUCAAAAUUUGGACACGAAGAACCGAAAAAUGAAGUUAUU
rnacentral:pre_miRNA from 1 species